rnacentral:rRNA from 1 species
AUUUAAGCAUAUCACUAAGCGGAGGAGAAGAAACUAACCAGGAUGCCCUCAGUAAUGGCGAAUGAAGCGGGCGUAGCUCACGCUGCCAAUCCGGAGGCCNUUGCGCCCCCUGAAUUGUGGUCUAGAGAGGCGCCUUCGGGCGCGCGCGCCGCUCAAGUCCCUUGGAAGAGGGUAUCGGAGAGGGUGAGAAUCCCGUACCGUGGCCGCGCGCGCCCUCACGAUGCGUCCUCGUCGAGUCGGGUUGCUUGGGAUUGCAGCUUGAAGUGGGUGGUAAAUUCCAUCUAAAGCUAAAUACUGGCGAGAGACCGAUAGCGAACAAGUACCGUGAGGGAAAGAUGCAAAGAACUUUGAAAAGAGAGUCAAAGAGUGCUUGAAAUCGGCAGGAGGAAACCCGGAUGGGCCCGGCUUCGGCGCGCCGACUCAGCCGCCCGCUCGGGGCGGUGCACUUUGUCGCGCCGGGUCAGCCGCCGCUCUGCGCGCGUCACAAGCGGGGAGUAGGGCUCCGGCGAGCUCCCCCUCUGCCUCUCGCGGGGCGCCGGCUGACGGAACGGGCCCCUCCGACCCGUCUUGAAACACGGAACCAAG